rnacentral:rRNA from 1 species
AGGACGAACGCUGGCGGCGUGCUUAACACAUGCAAGUCGAGCGGAAAGGCCACUUCGGUGGUACUCGAGCGGCGAACGGGUGAGUAACACGUGAGUAAUCUGCCCUUGGCUUUGGGAUAGCCACCGGAGACGGUGAUUAAUACCGGAUACGACCGCUCCUCGCAUGAGGUGGUGGUGGAAAGUUUUUCGGCCAGGGAUGUGCUCGCGGCCUAUCAGCUUGAUGGUGAGGUAAUGGCUCACCAUGGCUUCGACGGGU